CUCACGUGACCCUGUUCUACGACAGAGACGUCUCUGAAUGGUACCAGGAACCUUUCCUUUCCACUUUGGAGGAAACAACCUGGGAGCACCAAGCAAAAGAAUUGGGCCCAAUGAUGAAACGCUCCCUGGCAGCCACAGAUUGGAUUGCGACAGCAGUGCCAGGUGGACUCUGAGAGACCCCU